GUGUUGGUUGGUUACAAUUUUUUGUGUGCAUCUUCUCCAUAUUCCUCACUUACAAUUGUUUGUAUAUAUUCUCAUAUUGUUAUGUGAAAUAU